GCCAGCAAGCUCCCAGUUCUCAAAAAAAGGAAAGGCCUGGGUGAAUGGGCGGCCCCUGGGGUGUGCAGAGGGGCUGCCACGUCGACAUGACCCACUGCCCAGGCCAGGUGCCAGCAUCUCCUCCCCACAGAGGGAUGUGAAAGAAUUAAGCCCUCCUCCUGUGGGGACAAGACUGCAGACUUCAGGCAAUCGUGGUUGGACAUUUGCCCUGCCCCUUAUUAUGUGGUCAUGUCCACCCCCAUCACUUCAGUGGGCCUCCGUUUCCUCAUGGGGUUGUUAAAAUGCAUUAAUCAUUAAAAUUAUUGUUUGCCUGG